UGGAAACUAGCCUCUGAGAUCUGCAUGCAAGAGAAGAGCAAAGAGAAGCUCUUACUGGCAACACAUGCUCCUGGGAAUACCAGCUCUGGGGGAGCAAAGACAGGACUGAGUAGAGGGAAAAGGGGGGUGUGCUGCAGGCACAACGAGGGCCUUGGCAGAACCCAGAAGGAACUCUGGAGCUGACGGGACACUUGGAGUUAUUCCAAAAUGAGGAACAGGGGCUGGACCUGUCCACCUCCACCUGGAUCAGUCAUUGGAUGUGGGCUGACCUGGGAAAGGAAUGUCACUUGGCCAAAACCACUUGUCUCAGCUGAGGGUAGGGCUUGAAGCUCCUUCUCCAGAAGCGUCCCCUGAGGACUUCAGACCCAGGAGCUUGCCCCCUGUAUACUGGGGCACAGGAUUGUGGAUUGCCCAUGGAUUGCCCUCUGUAACCUGCUUCACUCCUACUAAACUUCACGUCUUCGUCUUUCAUGUUUGGAACUGGAGUGCUGGAGACAGAUUGGACGGUGAACUGACAUAGGCAGGAACUGCCUUAGGAAUGCUGGGGUCAGGAGGGCGCGCAGAGGGAUGAGGGCAGGGCCCCAAGGGCCAUGGUCUGGCCAUGCACCAGGAUGUCUGACCCAAUGCAGUGUGGAAAGAGGGCCAGAGGUGAUCUCUCCAGACAGAGUACUUACUCCAUUCUCUACUCUGACAAGUCCUGGGAAGGUUUAUUUUAUCAAGAGGGAGAAAGAGCUAUAUGAAAAUAAGAAAAAAAUAGCCAGAGCUUUAUGCCCUUGGUAUCUUAAUAAUUAAGAUAAAGAAGACAGAAUAGACAUUGCAUGUACAAUGCUUUGGCCAAUCUUUUUAAAGGAGCAACAAAUAAAUGUGAUCUACAGGGCAAA